UACGUAGGGGGCAAGCGUUGUCCGGAAUCAUUGGGCGUAAAGCGCGUGUAGGCGGUCCGGCAAGUCGGCUGUGAAAGUCCAGGGCUCAACCCUGGGAUGCCGGUCGAUACUGCCGGACUAGAGUUCGGAAGAGGCGAGUGGAAUUCCCGGUGUAGCGGUGAAAUGCGCAGAUAUCGGGAGGAACACCAAUGGCGAAGGCAGCUCGCUGGGACGUUACUGACGCUGAGACGCGAAAGCGUGGGGAGCAAACAGG
rnacentral:rRNA from 1 species